rnacentral:lncRNA from 1 species
UUUUACAAUGUAUCAUUCAGAAUCAUCUUCUAAGUUGACAUCAUCAUCACUAUCAAUACCAUCAACUUCUAAAUCGUCAUCUGACUCUUCAGUGUCUUCUUCCUCUUCCUCAUCCUCUCCCUCUUUCUCUUCCUCUACAUCCUCAUCUUCAUCUUCCACCACUUCAAGUGGUUGUUGCACUUGUUGCAAUUCAUUAACAUCCACCUC